CCUCCGGCCCCGGCCGCCCCCGCCCGGCCGCGCUUACCGGCGAUGCGCAGCACGGCCCGCUCGGCGGGGUCCAGCACCGAGCCGCCCUGGAUCUUCCGCUUGGACCGCUCGUGUUUGGGCAGGUUCCAGGGCAGCGUGUCCCCCGGCGCCGGCGACACCGUCCCCGACCUCUGGCUGAAGUCCUCCUCGUCGGAGAAAUCGGCGGAGGACGACAUGGAGCAUCGGUAGGACGCGUUGCCGGAGCUCUGCACGGGGAGACAGACAGACAGACAGAAGUUUCCUGCUCACUGAGGUGGUGAGCUUCCACUAGGGGUUGUGUUUCCUCCAGGCGAGGUGUUACUCGUCUUCUGACAUGGCGAGGGCUUGAUCUAAAGCCCUGCAAGAAAAAAAGGAAUCAUCGUGUUUGGCAUCUCCCAAAAUGGAGCUGUGUAACAUCCACAAAUUCACACUGGAUCUUAACAACUAAAGCAGAAUACCUGCUGAAGUCCUUAUGCAACAAAGCCAGCAUUUUAGAAUCCAACUUCUGCAAGGUUAGAUUUCAGAUAAAACUGCAGAAAUCUAUGCUGUGAAUCUAAAUAUCCUGAAUUCCUGCCAGCAGAAAACUAGUGGGAGCAGUACAUUUCCAUAUAAAUCUGCUGUUCUUUUGCUCCCCCCUUCCAUUAGCUUUUGGGUUUUGUGAUUUGUUUUGCCUUUUUUGUUGUCAUUUUAAUUAGGAAAUCAGCACAGAAGAGUUGUGCUAAAAUGCUGUUAUGUUGGUAAAUUGAAAUAAUCAAAAGUAUGGCUCUGUGAAAACUGGAUUUCCUCCACUAAUGUUCAUGAGACUGUAAGGGAAGACAGUGCCUGUCCUGGACACUCAGAUGGACAGAGAAACAGCUAUCUUCAUUAUUUAAAUGCAUUCCAUAUUAAGUAAAUAUACACUUAAACAGCCAAAAGACACAAACACACAUUUACAUACACAUGCUAGUAAUUGCUAUAAAUACACAUUGCAUGCAACAGAUGAUGUAAAAAGAUUGAAGUGGAAAGGUGAAGUAUCUUCCAGGGAACAAACUUCUACACAUGAACACUGGAGAGGAGGGACAGAAAUAGAGCCCAAAUCUACUUAGUCAGUCUGGGAGGCUCACGUAUGGAGUGCAUCAGGGCUGUGAAGUACAUUUGAUGCAAAGGUAGAGCCAGUGUUUCCUGAAUCUUUUUUUUAUGACCCCUCCUACUCUACAGAAGCAAUGGAACCAUUCGGAGUUUAGGUAAGGACAGACCUUGACACCCCAUGUCUGAAUGGAAGCAGCAGCCUGCCCGUACCAACCAAAGCAAGCAGAACAGGGGAAGCCACUGCAGACCUGUGCAGAUUUAGGAGGAUCUGCAAACAUUCCCGGGUGUCAAUCUGAGACUCUGCCACACUAUUGCAGCAGGAAAAAUCAUUGCCCCAUUUUCUUUCUACAUUGUGAAAUAGCUAACAGAUACAUACAAUGUAUCAUUCAACAUGAUACUAGGGACUAUUUGGGAUAAGAAGGAAAAAUACAACUCAGGGAGCCUGCUAUAGCGGGGCUUACUGCUCGUGGAAAUGUUCUUUUAGAAAAAAAUGCUAGUAUGCAUCAGGGAUUAUUCCAUAGCAAGUGAAAAUAUUCCUUAGGAGACCUAAACACCCAGGAAAUCUAUUCCAUGUUCUGAAACCAGAAUAGAUUUUCUAAUGUUAAAUGCAUUAUGUUUUUUACGUGAGGGCCACUGGCCAGAGCCUUGUGAUGUACCCUGCACUGCUCCCUCACCACACUCCCAUCCCAUUAACUGGAUAAAACUCUUCAGGAAAGUAUGUUUAUGUAACAGAAGAAUUUGAUAGAAGCUAAGCAGCUCUAAAAGUGCUUAGAAACACAUGCCAAAUAGGGAUUUAAGUAUGUGGGUCUGUCUCACCAAGUGGCUUCACCUCAAAAUAUGUCUAGCUUUAUUGAUUAUUAUGUUUCAAUAUGAAAAAGUCACCUCUGAUUUCCAGAAAAAUCUGUUUAUAGACAAUGUUUCGCCUUGACAUUUUCAGUAUUUUUUUCACUUUUACGGUUUAUUACUAGCAAGAAAAUGGGAUAUUUAUCUCUUUAAGAGCUCAUCUGCUUCUGUUUGCUGAGGCUCAUUCUUCCCUUGAAGUCAUAAUCUGCCUGCAGUAUCACAAAUAGUUGCUGUGAGGAGGAUUAUAAUGCGAUAAAGGCAGAGGAUCAUGAUUUCAGGUGGAAAAUUAAUUCUGUAUCUACAAAGAUAAUGUUACAAGGGCAGAGCCCUCAGACCAAAUCCCAAAAUGCUUACUCAUUCCUGCAAUGGGACUUUGCCAGAGCAAAGACGCAAAUCCAGAAAAUUUCAAAAUUUGAUAAUCAAAAAUGAAGACAGGAGGCAAAAGUGAUGUAACAUAUGGAAGCUGCUACUCCUAUGCUCAGUGCAAAAUUAGUGUGCCUGGUGAUUCCUUCUAAACAGUAAAAUGAACAGAAGCUUUUUGUGUCAUCUGUGUUAUUUAUCCCUCAGUUUAGUCCAGAAUUAAAACCACCAUAUUAAUACAGCAAUCAAAAUUUAAAAAACCCACAGAAAUCACAAAAAUAUUUGUUUGGCAAUGACAGAACUAUUUUAGAUGUCAAGUCAGUGCUCAUAGAUGAGCAUAAAAGUGUUACAAAAUGCUCAGGGAAGCACAGUACACCACCUGAGACCAAACCACCGAGGAAAAGCUGGAGAUUUUAAAAUCACAGGGAUAUUACAACAAGGUUGCUCUAACACAGUUAAGCGAUUUGUAGUUUCCAGUAUCAUAUGAAUGCUGUGUCACUGGGCAAUGAAAACCUUGUCUUGUUCUUUGUGCUGGGAGGGAGUUGCUCAUUCCCAGAACCUACUGCCUGACUCAUUUUUGUGCCUGUAAAAUUCUGAACAACAAGGCAAACCAAACAAAACUUCAAACGUAUUUUUAGAAAACCUGUCUUCCAAAUACCAAAAUAGCUGCACAAAGGUUUACACUAAAAUAAUUUUCCUUAAAGAAACAACUCAUAUGAUCACCAGAACCAGUUUAGACAUUUCAGAGGAAGACACGAGGCCAACUGAAGCUGGAAUUAUCUUCUCUGCAAAAGCAUUCAUGUGCAUCCUUCCAGUCAGAGUCUGCUGGAAUCCAGGAAGAGUGAUCUUCCUAAUCUGAGUCUACAGCAAACAGGAAUGGAGAGGUGUCUCUGGAGGUUGUUGCAGAGCCAAAGGCUAGUUCACCUGUAUCAAACAAGCUUUUCUUUAUGGAAGCAGGCUGGGGACAUCAGCCUCUUUUAGCUGAAAUUCAUCCUUUUAAGUCUUCUCUGAGUGUUGGGGGUUUUUAUUUGUUGUUUGGUUGGGAGGGUUUUUUGUUUGCUUUUUGUUGUUGUUGUUUGGUUGGUUUUUUCUCUUGGAUGAGGUGUGAUAAUAUUAAAAUAACCUAUUCUGUCUAUCUUCAUACCCAAAUCAAUGAAUGUUGCCAGCCUGGCCAUGGCAUGCCAAGAGCACACUGUGUAAAAUUACUUUCACAAUAAGGUGUUCAGUAAAACAUAUCUUAUCCAGCCAAGUUUUAACUUCACAGCUCUGAUUUAGCUCUGACUAAUUCCUUGUCUAUAGAAACACAUGUGGGUUUUCUCUGACCAAAAUUCAGCAGACAUGCCCUCCCCAAGUUACCCUUUGAGCCACCAAAGCCAGCAGGUGAGAUGAGCCACUCCCUCACAGCACCUAUUUCUCUCCAUUGGCCACACCCAGAGCCCAGACUGACCUCUUCACUCACACACAUCCAUACUGUGAGUAUCCAAAUUAAAUAGGAUGGAUCAGACCCGUGGUUUUGGUCUGCCUCCAAUCUGGUGUUCAUCAUUCCACAUUUUGUCAUCAGACUUCCUUUUAUUUUUCUGCUUCUACAUGAAAUUAUUCUGGUCUCUUCCAUCAGCUUUUUUUCCUGUGAGAGUUUCAUAUUUUCUCAUUCACGGAUAUCACUCGUGAUGGAUGCCCAUAAUUCAGUACAGUACUCUUAUAAAUUUAUAUUACUGAUAUAUAUAACAGUAGCACAUGUUUUUCUGUUCUGUUUAAACAUUUCCCUUCCCAUCUCCUUUCCAAUGAGGCUACACAUCUGAAAGUAGUCCUCACUGAACUGUUAAAAGUCAUUCAGAAGGCCCUUUCUGAAAAUCGUAAACCUAAAAAUUAAAAUGUGGCUAAAGACUUUUCUCUGUAAUAUACUCAACCCUGCAUUUGUUAACAACAUCAUAUGUAUUUAUUUGCCCCAUUUCUUCAAUAUGGUCUGCUAUUUGAUAACCAAAUGUGUCAUACUCUGCUAUCCUUGUUGUGUUUUUGCUUAUUCUCAUUCCUAAUCCAUUCCUCAUAUAAAACAGGAAUUUUAAAUUUCCUUAAAAACUUGUUUAGCUUUUGCUUUUAUUUAAAUUUACAGAUAAGAACACAUUGAAUAAUGUAUUGAACCUUUUUCUUUCACUGUCUUAGUUUUUCUGUAUUUAUUUUUAAUUUUUUUUCUGAUACUUUAUUAGCACCAGACGAAUACAUCAGUGCUACCCCAUGUGUGUAUUAUUGCUUUAGUGAUAAAAAUCUCUGACUCCUCCAUUAUUUGAAUGUGCAAUUGUAUUAAUUCACCAGAUCCUUCUCCUCUCCAUUCUAGUUUCUACUAGCCCUGGUACCUUCAUCAUACAUUAUCUCUAUUUUUAUGCUUAUAAGAAGCCAUAUUCAGUUUUCAUUUUUUCCAGUGUAUAAGUAUUUUACGUAGAAUAUAUUGGUUGUCAGAAUUCUAUCUUGGGACCCAGCCUUUCCAGCCAGUAUGGGUUUUCGGAGUCAGUAAGCAUUAACAUCAAUAGAGGUAAAAGUGCAUUAUCUGAUGUCCAGCUGAAGUCAACAGAAAUCUUUGCAUUAACUUCAGUGGGCACUGGACUGCAGCCCAGCUUACCUUCUGGCAGAACUUCAGUAAAUCACAGAGAAAGUAACACUUCCAGUAAAUCACAGAGAAAGUGCUAGCUAGCAUUAGGCCACAGUUCAGUGACAGCAGAACUCAAGUGUGUUUGCAAAGGUGUUUGCAGAUAUUUGAGUAAUUCCUGUAGAUGAAGGUGCACUAAUAUAUAUCAAAGCCAAAAGGAGCUUAGAUAGGAUAUCCGGAUUUGUGUUCUUGCUUUUAAGGUUUCUGACAGUGGUUGUGUGUGCAUGAGAAUUGUCAUCUGUUACCAUUGUCAACUAAUGGCCUCAAGAAAUAGCCUUCAAAUUGCCAGUUACCUCCUGUUUAAAUCUUGGAAACUUUCAUGUUUACACAACCCACAGCAUCUUAGGGCCUGCAGACAUUACUAUGGGUAGCAUCAAAUCCUUCUCAAGAUGCUGGCAUUCUACAGACAGGCUGAAAUAGAAUUAAACCCUAUAGUUGGAGUACCUAGUUCAACUAAAAUGGCAGGUUUAAAUUAAAUAACUUUAUUGUAUGAAAUUCCCUUGCAAACUGAAAGAGAAAAAUUUGAGAUUCUUUCUGUUACAUAGAAAAACAUUUAUGCAUAUGUGUGUGUAUAUAUUUACAUAUACAUAUAUAUGGAUAUAUCUAUGCAUCCAAACUGUAAGAACAGUUUUAAAUUAAAAAGUGGCCAAGAUUGCAUUAUUUCUCUCCUUCCUCUUCCAUAGAGAUUUCCAUACCAAAUAUUAUCAGUUUACAAAGAACCAAAGAAAACCCCACAACAUUUAUUUAACUGCCAGUUCUGCAAGUUCCACCCAAAAUCCAAGAUUCAAUCUAAGUUCUCCAAGAUUUUUAUAGUAAAGAUGGCUAAUUAAUGUAAGGUGUAAAUUUUCUAUCCCAGGAAGAUUACCUACACUCACUGAGUGUAUUACUUAUUGCUUACGCUGAGUGUAUUACACUGAGUGCAUACAGUUGCAUCCACCCAAGGAGGAUGCAACUGUAUUUGUUCUAUUUUGAUUCUAUCAGAACUAAAAAAAUAGACUGCAACCUUUUUUUUGUGUGGGUCUCUUGAUUUUUUUUAAUCUUACAAAGGGUUACUCCUAUAAAGAUCUGAAUCAGGAUUUAGAACAUAAAAUAUAAGAUUUUACAUUCAAUUUCUCAUUCCACUUCUUCAAUAGCAAGCUUUCACUGAUGCUGCUUUGCAUGCCUUAUGUUUAUUUUAGGAGAUAUUAUUCUUAUCUUAUAAAAUCUAAACUCUAAGCAGUGCUGGAACCAUUUCUCAGAUAUUGAAGACUGUGAUUUGGCACAUGCAACAUUCCAAGAUAAGUCCACACGUUCAAAGGCAUUUAAAGCAAUUGCUUUUUACAUAACGUGAACAAGAUUACUUCCCCAACCAAAUUUAUGAAAUAGAACAUCAAUAAUCUGCUUUCCAGUUCCUAAUCAGGCUCCUCCAUGUAAAUACACAGGAGCCCUUGUAUUUAGGUAUUUAGGAGUCCUUAGGUUUAGGUGUGAAUGUAGAACACAGUGUCUAAUAAUCCAUGCUAAAUUACAUUGCUGUUUAACAUGGCUUGUUUGGUUUUUCCUGUCAUAAGGCCAGGAUUCCUAUUAAAGCACAGGUAAGUUGUAACAUUAGGAAAAUCUGAUGAUCUGCAAGCAAACAGCCAAAUGGCACACCCAGUCAUGCCUCAAGGUACCCUUUCAAUACUCUUUCCUGUCUAAAGCUAUAAGCCACAGAGGCUGGCCCUUUCUCCAAGCAGCCCUGUGGCUCUCUGACAAGAAGCUUGGAGCUCUCCAUGAGAUGGCUUGUCCCAGUUCCUUCCCUGCUACCUCAGGGCACUGCAAGCCUCCCUAGGAAGGGAACAAUUAUUUAAGAACAAAAUUAUUUAAGAACAAAAAAAUCAGUGUACUGCUUGAUCAGUGGUCUGCAAGGGAAGGUUUAAUUUAAGAUAUACCAUCACAUUCCCCUAGCAUGUCCCCUUUCCAGCCUUGCUUCCUCUGUUUUCCAUCUCUUCAUGUCUCCUCAUCUUGGGCAGUGUCCAGUAUAUAUCAAGGAUCUGCCAGAAGACAUUAGCUUAAAAUAUUAAAAAAAUGGUAAGAAGCUGAAUAAGAAAUAACAUGGAUUGCUAAACCAUAGCAGUGCUGCCAAACAUCUAAUACAAAUCUAAUACAAAGAGAUUACUCUCUUUUGUCCAGUGUAGUUGUUUGAAACACAAAAUGGUAAGAGAAUAUAUCCCACCACAGCAUGUGAAGAUGUGUCUGUGCUUUUUAAAUUAUAAAAUAGAUGCAUAACUGAUGAGAGACAGGAAUAUAUCAUAAAAAGAUAACUAAGCUAGAAUUCAGGUAUCUAUUAAGACAAAUAGAUUCAGAUACCAACAACAUACCUGAACAAGUCUUUGCUUCCUGUUAUCACCAAUAAAAAAUUUAGUUGACACAUUCAGUGAGGCUUGAAGAACCAUUCAGCACAUCCUGAAGCAGACAUCAACACUAGGUCAGCUGAGCAGUUCUGUAGACUGCAAUCUGUAAAUGCCUACGGUGAGCUUGUUGGGCUGCAUAAAGGGAUGCUGUUUUUACAAACUCACUUUCCAGCUCCUACCUUCAUAUGAAGGAAGGUAGUGGAGGCAGAUCAGAAGAGAACUUGGUUGUAUCAUUUUGUUCUUUCUAGAACAAGGAAGAAGGAUAAAUACAAUACCUCAGCCUGACAUGAUUAUGUAUUUCAGUAUAAUCUGUGCUAUCAAUUUAUGUAAUCAACAAUUAAGCCUGUAGGAUCUGUGUUUCACUUCCAGUCUGCUCUACUACCUACCCCACCAUCCUGAAGCAGAGUGCUGUAUUUAAACAGCUGAGUGGACAGGGGAGAUAAGGACAUUGGCACAACUUGCAAGAAAAGUGUCUUUGCCCAAACAUCAAGUGCAGUUAGUUUCUGUAGCUGAUAUGGUGUUUUCACACUCCAGCCACAGCUCAUGUUUCAUUCCCACUGAUGAGUCAGGAACAGCAAAGCUCUGACUCUCCUUGAUGCAAGGCAGUAGGACACAAGGGAGCCCAGCAGGGGCUCAUACAUUUUGGGUACAAGUAUCCAGACAACAAGCACCCAGGCUGGCUGCUGAACCAGAAGCACAAGGAAUAAGCUCAAAACCAAGGCAGCUUUGCUAACACUAACCAAGAUCAGCUGUCUGCACUGUGAGCCUGACAUGCCAAAGCAUCUCUGCCACACAGUGCCGAGUCCUUGCCCCGGGAGGCUGGAGGAGCCCACGGGCCCCUCUGCAGAGCCCGAGACCCCUCUGGGCUGCAGAGCUUGUGGAGCAGGGUGAGCAGCUGCAGCUCUGGCUGGUGUCCCUCGUGUCUGACACGGCCAGGCCCCAAAAAGCCAGCUCAGCUGAAUCAGAUCCUACAUGAAAACAUCAAGGUGACUUCACCCUGUGCUCUGCACAUUCUUCCACAGCAUAUCAAAGGUGCCUCUAUUUAAAACAGUCUGGGAAUGGAAGACAGUGUGAGUGAGGCUUCCACGCCUAAGGAAAACACACGCAAAAGCCCUGGAGCAGCCAAAACCCCAAGGGUUGUACUACCCUGUUCAUGUGGUGCUUUCUUACAUUUAAUACCCUCAGUCUAAAGAGCUAAGCUGUUUCUGCAGGAACUUCCACAACCUGAUCUGUCACCCUUGUAAUCUAACUGCAAUAACUGAGAAAUCAGUGCAGAUGAUUAAGCUUUUUCUGUGUGAUCUAUGGAGCCCUGCAUGAUCCCUUCUGUCUGUGUAAGAACAGUUUCUACAGGAUAUGUGGUAAUACAUGUGCUCACUGCAAGUAUGACCUCAGCUACUCUAAUUCAUGGUUUCAGUCUGAGGUUUGUUUAGGGCAAAAGGCAGGAGCUAGAAGCUCCCGUUCUGUACACGUGUACAAUGUGUCUGUUAACAGGCAGAUGGCCACAAGCUGUGCUCCCCCUGCAUCCCUGUGAAAUCAGGGUUCUGGUUGUGUGUACAGGGAUGUGCACUGAAAUGGCACAGAGCACCACCGAACUGCAGCUCAUCUAAAACCCACAUUUCCAGAGACAGCAGCAGAUACUGAGAAACAUAGAUAGCUGAAUACUUACAUGAUAGCCAUGAGGUUGUUGGCAUAACUGUACAUUAAUGGGAAACUAAAGAGUAAGAAGAGCUUUUAUGAGGUAGUGUAUCUUUACGCAGUGGUUUUCCCAGUCCUGCUAGAGAACAUGAGGAUGUGUUCACCUACAAAGCAGGUCCCAGGACCAUGCCUGACCACUGAUGUGGACCAUAACACAAUGGCUAGUACUUUUUUAGGUCAUGGGUGGAGCUCAGAGGUGAUUCCUUCAGUAUUUCAAAGCUCUGCCGACCAUCAGAAUCCAGAACAGAGAUGCAGACAAGGCUAUAUAAACAUUGUAGUACAGAGUAAAAGUACCCAAGUCAACUUCUCUGGAGUUAGUUUUGCUCAGCACUCAAGCAGUCUGGCUGCAGCAAUCAGACAAAUCCUAUAUAUUUGGUGAUACAAACAGGCUGUUCCUCAGCACAGACCGAUGCUUGUGGGCUAUCUAAAGGCAGCACUGCUGUGACUAAAGCUGACAAAGAGUGAUGGACAGAUGACAUAAAGUAAACUAAAUCUCAGUGAUACCUACUUUGCCAUGUGACAGCUCAGUGUGGCACACUCUGUCUGGACCACAUUAUUUGAUAUAUUAUGAAAAAUGGACAGAACAGUUUGUCCUUAUACAGUGUAACCUGUAUUUAUAGCUCUUCAUUCAUUCCUAUAAGUGCUCUCAUACAGCUAAGAAAACAAUUUAUUUUUUCUCUGAUUUAUUUUCCUUUGAGCCUAUUCCUUACCUCUUAGACAGCUAAUGGAAAAAUAGUUUAAACAUCCUGAGGGAAAUCAUGUCAAACACAAAGGUAAAAUAUUUUCAGGCUGAUUCAACCCUGUAAAGACAAUGAAACAUCCUUUCAAUAGGUGAAUGAAUGUAUUAUGCUGGCUAGUCCUGCACAUUUGUGGUGCUUAUUGGAUGCACUCCCUCCGACCAAACAGAAGAUUCAGAUUCAGCUUGGAGGGUCUGAUGAUUUCUCCUUUCAUUGGAGCUGUACAUAUCUGGAGCAUUUUAUAAAUAACUGCAAUGCUCAGGAUGAAUUGUGGUGCAACUCUUCAAAGACUAUUAGUUAUUGUUUUGUAAGAUAACUAGAACCGUAUUUUUAGGCAACUGUCUCACAAUCAGCCUCAGAAGGGGCAUGAUUAUGGCAAAAGUAUCCUUAAGGAUAAGUUUAUGUACAAUUUUCUGGACAUCUGUGUUGACAAAGUAAGAUAUACAUUUCCCAAUAUACAUUGUUGUACUAUAGCUUUGCAUCCAUUGUACCAUAAUGGAUGAAUUAGAAAAUCCAUUUGCUCUUAAAAACCAACGCCAGUCUUGGAUGAACUAUAUCACUACCAGUCUAGUCACAACAAUACAGAACUCACAGAAUCACUAGGUUGGAAGAGACCUGCAAGAUCAUUGAGUCCAACUCAUACCCCAACCCCUCAACUAAACCAUGGCACCGAGUGCAACAUCCAGUCUUUUCUUGAACACAUCCAGGGAUGGUGACUCCACCACCUCCCUGGACAGACAAUUCCAGUACUUGAUCACUCUUUCUGUGAAAAACUUUUUCCUAAUAUCCGACCUAUAUUUCCCUUGGCACAGCUUAAGAUUGUGUCCUCUGGUUCUGUCACUUGCUGCCUGGAGAAAGAGACCAACCCCCACCUGAGCACAGCCACCUUUCAGGAGGUUGUAGAGAGUGAUAAGGUCACCCCUGAGUCUCCUCUUCUCCAGGCUAAACACCCCCAGCUCCCUCAGUCGUUCCUCACAGGGUUUGUGUUCCCAGCCCCUUACCAGCCUCGUUGCCUCCUCUGGACAUGCUCAAGCAUCUCAAGGUCCUUCCCAAGCUGAGGGGCCCAGAACUGGACAGAGCACUCAAGGUGUGGCCUCACCAGCACUGAGUACAGGAGAACAAUGACCUCCCUGCUCCUGCUGGCCACACUAUUCCUGACACAAGCCAGGAUGCCCUUGGCCUUCAGCAGGGCACUCUGCUGGCUCAUGUUCAGCCAGCUGUCACCAGCACCCCCAGGUUCCUUUCCACUUGGGCACUGUCCAGCCUCACCAUCCCCAGCCUGUAAUGUUACAGGGGAUUAUUGUGGCCAAAAUGCAGGACUCAGCACUUGGACUUGUUAAACUACAUCCUAUUGGAUUCUGCCCAUCCAUCCAACCAUUCCAGGUCUCUCUGCAAGGUCCUCCUUCCUUCCAACAGAUCAACACAUGCUCCCAGCUUAGUGUCAUCUGCAAAUUUACUGUACUCAGUACCCUCACCCACGUCAUCAAUAAUAAUAUUGAAAUAGACUGGAUGAUUACAACCUUGUAGCAACUGUUCAGUGUACUAAAAUGAAAAUGUGGGGUCUGCAAAACUCAACCACCAAAUGUUAUUCCUUUGCUACAGACAUGGUUAACACACACUGCCAGCCCUCACAGAGAGUCUUCUCACAAAGGGCCAACUCCUAUUUAUCUUGCUGGUGUGUUUAGUUCCACCUGGGUUAUGUGAAGUCAGAAUUUACAGUGGGCUGUAAUACUUGUACUGAUUUGUUUCCUAGUAGUUUUUGACCUGCAGGUCUCAGUGGAAGCAUUCACAGGAAACUUGCCCAAAAUACGUGAGUCAACAUCAAAUAAAUACAAAGUGAUACCAUGUUGCUUAUGACUACCCACUGGCACUGACACCUUCAGUGACUGAGGUCACAGUAUCCCUAACAUCCUAAGGUAAAGAAAAACUGUGAAGCUCAGAGAAAAUUUCAGCAAAAGAUUUAUAAAUCUGGUAAUUUUUCCUCAAUAAUAUGAAAACUGCUACUUUAGCAAUUAGCACAAUUAUCCCUUCACAAUCUCAUAAAUCCCAACCCUUUAUAGAUCCUGAAUGAGAACCUUCCUUUUCAACAGUUCUUACCACCAAAUCAAAAGACAUUAAGAAUUGUACCAUUCAGAUUAAUUCCUUCCAGCCUCAGGACUAGAAGCUUUCUUCCCUUUUAAUUGAAAGGUAAAAAUCUCACAUAAUCCAGUGACUCCAGAGGCUUCAACUAUGAGGAAAACUAAUUCAGAAAGAAAUUUAAAUCACAAGAAGUGGCAACACCAACACAUUAAGCAAUGCUUUUAAAUUGAAAGGUAUAGAUGACUUUCAGACUCUAAGGCAUAAAAUUAUAAACAUUGAAAGGUGUCAAGCCCAAGCCCACAAAGUACUCAGAGAAAAUUUCUCUGCUUCAUGAAAAAAAAAAACUUCAACAAAGAACACAAGAAGAAUAAAACUAAUGAAUAAUUUAUAGCCUUUACAUUUUUAAUAAUAAUUUUAAUAUUAAUAUUAAUAAUAAUAAAAGACCAAACAAUGUAUCAUAGUCCCUACUUUGGUAAAACUCUCACUGAGUUAUUUUGUUAUUUUGGUGUGGUUUUGGUUCAGCAUGGACAUUUCAUUCUACAACUGAUUCUCAAAAUAAAGACAGACUAGUGCAAACAACUACAUCAAAGUCUGAUGUGUC